GACGAACGCUGGCGGCGUGCUUAACACAUGCAAGUCGAGCGGUAAGGCCUUUCGGGGUACACGAGCGGCGAACGGGUGAGUAACACGUGGGUGAUCUGCCCUGCACUCUGGGAUAAGCCUGGGAAACUGGGUCUAAUACUGGAUAUGACCUCAGCAUGCAUGUGCUGGGGUGGAAAGCUUUUGUGGUGCAGGAUGGGCCCGCGGCCUAUCAGCUUGUUGGUGGGGUAAUGGCCCACCAGGGCGACGACGGGUAGCCGACCGGGGGGGGUGACCGGCCACCCUGGGACGGAGACCCGGCCCAGACUCCUAGGGGGGGCAGCAGUGGGGAAUAUUGCACAAUGGGCGGAAGCCUGAUGAAGCGACGCCGCGUGAGGGAUGAAGGCCUUCGGGUUGUAACCCUCUUUCAGCGGGGACGAAGCGUGAGUGACGGUACCUGCAGAAGAAGCACCGGCUAACUCCGUGCCAGCCGCCGCGGUAA
rnacentral:rRNA from 1 species